rnacentral:rRNA from 1 species
GGGUCAGUAGGUUGGUCGUGCCACCGGUACGUACUGGUCUCACUGAUUCCUCCUUCCUGAAGAACCGUAAUGCCAUUAAUUUGGUGUUGCGGGGACACAGGACUGUUACUUUGAAAAAAUUAGAGUGUUUAAAGCAAGCUAACGCUUGAAUACAUUAGCAUGGAAUAAUGAAAUAGGACGAUCGAUCCUAUUUUGUUGGUUUCUCGGAUUGACGUA